GCGGGGUAGCUCAGCUGGUCAGAGCGCACGGCUCAUAAUCGUGAGGUCGCGGGUUCGAGCCCCGCCCCCG
rnacentral:tRNA from 4 species